UACGGGAAACUCGAGACUAACUACCGCAAUAAUACUCCACGGAUACAAAGGCGGGGGAUCUUCGGACCUCGCGCCGGGAGAGGAGCCUGCGUUAGAUUAGCUAGUUGGUGGGUAAAGGCCUACCAAGGCGACGAUCUAUAGCUGGUCUGAGAGGACGAUCAGCCACACUGGAACUGAGACACAGUCCAGACUCCUACGGGAGGCAGCAGUCGGGAAUUUUGGACAAUGGGCGCAAGCCUGAUCCAGCAAUGCCGCGUGAGUGAAGAAGGCCUUCGGGUUGUAAAGCUCUUUCAGUCGAGAAGAAAAGGCUGCAGUGAAUAACUGUAGUUUAUGACGGUAUCGACAGAAGAAGCACCGGCUAACUACGUG
rnacentral:rRNA from 1 species